AGUCUUUUAGUAUAUUUAUGUAUAUCUGACUUCCAAUCAGAGGGUUUAAAAGAUUA
rnacentral:tRNA from 2 species